GACGAACGCUGGCGGCGUGCCUAAUACAUGAAAGUCGAGCGGAGUGAGUCCUUCGGGAUUCAUUGAGCGGCGGACGGGUGAGUAACACGUAGGUAACCUGCCAAACAGACUGGGAUAACUACCGGAAACGGUAGCUAAGACCGGAUACGCUUGCGAGGGGGCAUCCUCUUGCAAGGAAAAGCGGAGCAAUCUGCUACUGAUUGAUGGACCUGCGGCGCAUUAGCUAGUUGGUGAGGUAGCGGCUCACCAAGGCGACGAUGCGUAGCCGACCUGAGAGGGUGAACGGCCACACUGGGACUGAGACACGGCCCAGACUCCUACGGGAGGCUG
rnacentral:rRNA from 1 species